AUGAUUAAUUUUAAAAGAUAAUAUUAUAUUUACAAAUAACGCUAAAGAUUGCUAUUCUAUUUUGUCAGAAGAGGGCAGGAAGGAGCACUCUUCUUCCUUAACUAGGAGUCAAGCAACUUGCUGGGGGUUUUAACCUGGUGACCCAGCCCUGGGAAGACCUAUGCUCAAGCUUGGGGGUGGGAGGGAGAGGGGUCCCCAUCUCUUCUGAUGGUCGCACAGGGCCAGCCAAAUUUCCAGGGCAUCAUCUAUAUGUUGUAUACUGAGGGGCCUAAGAUCACCUGCCUAAAAAUAUCCCCCUUGACCAGCAAUACUCCUGCAGCCACUGACACUGAAAUUUCCACAUAGGAAGCAUUAGAAAUUCACUUCUCAGGGCUGGGGUCCUGUCUAUCCAGUCCACCCACCUUGUGUAUGGAGCCUUCCCAGAGAGGUAUGAAGGAGUGUCAGAUUACUUUCUAAAAUGACAGCUAUUUUGAUUGGGGGCAGGGAGGAGAGAUCAUUUUGGAACCCCCUCCUGAGGCGCGAUGGCUGGGGGCUCCUGAACAUCAGCGAGGGCAGGGCUGGGGCAGGUGGGAGAGGAGAAGGCAGAGGCUUUGCACUUUCUUCACAAGUUUGCUUAAGGCUGAGACUGUUUUCACUCAUUAACAAGCUCUGAUUUGGUGUGUGUGUUGGGGAGGAAGGGGAUGGAACCCAAGGGUGUUUCUCCUGAGAACAUGUGAUACACUCAACUGAUCAAUUAGGGGGAGGGUUUAUACUGUGAGACAAAAGAAUUGUUAACUUUACAGGCAGAAUCUUGGCAGGGUUGCUUUAACUGGAGGGCAUCCCGCCUACCCUAUUUUAAACGGCAUUUUUAUCUCGAUCAAUGAAGAGAACAGCCGCCAAGGGCGCCUCUCACCAGCCUCAACCCCAACAGGAAAUGGCAGAAACACACACUCCUCGUCCCCGCUGGCUGCCCCAGGCCGCACCGCAGCUGGCCUCUCCUGACUCAAGGUCAGUGGGGCUCGGGCUGGCCUGGUGUUGAGACAGCAUUCUGGAAACUGCGCUUGUACCCUGCAGACGGCUGUUUCCUGGGCUAGGCGACUCCCGCCCCCCCCCGCCACCCCCGGACUGUAUCUGUACCCUUCCUGGGGACUUGGCCAGUCCGGGGCCUGCACUUCCCAAGUCCAAGGUGAGAGGGCAGACUACGCCUGAGUGUGGUCUUGGAAGCGGCCGAGGGCUCGGAACCAGGUGGAUCCAGUGCUGGUCCAGAGGUCCUGCAGAGGAAGUCACACUGGCCUCGUUUUGCCCUUCUAGACGCACCAAGGAGAGAAACAGAAAAGGAACUUCAGAUCCUUUAGGACUUCGAGAAGAGUCUGCUCGCACCACAAACAUUUUCCAGUGCACUGUGAUCAAACACUCCUCACACCCCUUGGUGCUCAAGAGCCUGGGAGCUCCGUGGACAGGGGGGUGCUGGCCUCGUCACCCCUGUUUCCCUCGUGCCAGAACGGGAUAAGCCUUCCAAACUUUUGCUGAACACCUAAUCCUGGGUACGUGUGUGUGGGUACCAUUCCUGUGUCUAUACUGGGAAUGACCCAGGUUAGCAGUGAAGAAACUGGGAUGUGUGUUUCCAGUCUGCAAUCAUUACUUGCUUGUAGCUUCAGGCUUGUGAAAUGUCUCUAUUCCACAAUCUUCUCAUUCCCGAGAAGGAUGAAAACAACCUGUGCCGUUGACCUCGCAAGUUUGUUAAGACGAUCAAUGUUGUGCAUGUAGCAGAACUCCUACAGUUUAAUCAUUCACACUUGAGCAGUUCUUACCCACUUUGCUUUUGUUUCAGCCAAAGGGGCUAGAAACUUGUCCAAGGGCAGGAGAGUUGAUUCAGGUGCCAGGUCCAGUCUUGGGUUCACACGCAGGGCCCCCUCCAACUCACCGGGUCCUCUGGACUGCAUACCUCUUCAGGUGCCCAAACUCAGGUUCUGUUCCCCCCAGGGUGAGCCUGCCCCAUCCCCGCCAGUCCUCACAGCCAAAGUCCUCCUGAUCUUCCAAUCCAGUCUUUACCCCCUCCACCCACUUCAGCAGGCCCGUUCCAUGUCUACUUCCCCUGGCCGGUCCUGCCAGGUCAUCCAGGACCAAGUUACCCCUUCUCCCUCGGCCUCCACUUGACCCUUGCUCCUGCUAGAUUUCCCCCAUCAUUUCUCCACCCCUUAGUUUUCCCCGCCUGACCCUCGACUAUCAGCUCACUGCCCACUCCUACACAGUUGACCUUUACUGGGUGUUUGGCCUCCCCAUUGAACUGUGAGUAUCAUAGACCUGGAGGGGUACAACCAUGUCAGCUGUUGAUGAGCUUGACAGCCAAGGGGGUGCGUUUAGGGGCUCAGUGAAGGGCAGAGCCUCUUCUCCCAGCUGGCUCUAUAUUCAUGCUCCAGAGUGUGAGUUUCUGUCCCCUCAUCCAUGUCACCACUGCACAGCCCCUGAAGGAGAGGAGGCAGACAGGACCUGCUAGACUGCCCCCGCUUUUCUGGCCCAGGGAUGGGGGAGGGUAAGAUGUGUGCCAUCGCUCUCCCUCCUCCAACUC